rnacentral:tRNA from 26 species
GCCGGUGUAGCUCAGUUGGUAGAGCACCUGACUUGUAAUCAGGGGGUCGCGAGUUCGAAUCCUGCCGCCGGCACCA